CGGACGGGUGAGUAACGCGUGGGUAACCUGCCUCACACUGGGGGACAACAGUUAGAAAUGACUGCUAAUACCGCAUAAGCGCACAGGAUCGCAUGGUCCGGUGUGAAAAACUCCGGUGGUGUGAGAUGGACCCGCGUUUGAUUAGCUAGUUGGUGGGGUAACGGCCUACCAAGGCGACGAUCAAUAGCCGACCUGAGAGGGUGACCGGCCACACUGGGACUGAGACACGGCCCAA
rnacentral:rRNA from 1 species